UACAGGGGGUGCAAACGUUGCUCGGAAUCAUUGGGCGUAAAGCGCACGUAGGCGGUUCGUUAUGUCGGAUGUGAAAGCCCUUGGCUUAACCGAGGAAGUGCAUCCGAAACUGGCGAGCUAGAGUACGAAAGAGGAUCGCGGAAUUCCCGGUGUAGAGGUGAAAUUCGUAGAUAUCGGGAGAAACACCGGUGGCGAAGGCGGCGAUCUGGGUCGAUACUGACGCUGAGGUGCGAAAGCGUGGGGAGCAAACAGG
rnacentral:rRNA from 1 species